UGGGGAAUCUUGGACAAUGGGGGCAACCCUGAUCCAGCCAUGCCGCGUGAGUGAUGAAGGCCUUAGGGUCGUAAAGCUCUUUCGCCUGUGAAGAUAAUGACGGUAGCAGGUAAAGAAACCCCGGCUAACUCCGUGCCAGCAGCCGCGGUAAUACGGAGGGGGUUAGCGUUGUUCGGAAUUACUGGGCGUAAAGCGCGCGUAGGCGGACUGAUCAGUCAGGGGUGAAAUCCCGGGGCUCAACCCCGGAACUGCCUUUGAUACUGUCAGUCUUGAGUCCGGAAGAGGCGAGUGGAAUACCGAGUGUAGAGGUGAAAUUCGUAGAUAUUUUGGAGGAACACCAGUGGCGAAGGCGGCUCACUGGCUCGAUACUGACGCUGAGGUGCGAAAGUGUGGGGGAGCAAAACAGGAUUAGAUACCCUGGUAGUCCACACCGUAAAACGAUGAAAUGCCAGUCGUCGGGUAGCAUGCUAUUCGGUGACACACCUAACGGAUUAAGCAUUCCGCCU
rnacentral:rRNA from 1 species